rnacentral:rRNA from 1 species
CAGCCAGGAUGUUGGCUUAGAAGCAGCCAUCAUUUAAAGAAAGCGUAAUAGCUCACUGGUCGAGUCGGCCUGCGCGGAAGAUGUAACGGGGCUAAACCAUGCACCGAAGCUGCGGCAGCGAACGUAUCACUUAAAGCGAUUCAGCGGGUUACGAUUGACGGAGCGAAGCGACGUCAAAGCGUAUACAAAGUCGAGUCGGUUUAAGGAUACGUUCGUUGGGUAGGGGAGCGUUCUGUAAGCCUGUGAAGGUGUGUCGUGAGGCAUGCUGGAGGUAUCAGAAGUGCGAAUGCUGACAUAAGUAACGAUAAAGCGGGUGAAAAGCCCGCUCGCCGGAAGACCAAGGGUUCCUGUCCAACGUUAAUCGGGGCAGGGUGAGUCGACCCCUAAGGCGAGGCCGAAAGGCGUAGUCGAUGGGAAACGGGUUAAUAUUCCCGUACUUGGUGUUACUGCGAAGGGGGGACGGAGAAGGCUAUGUUGGCCGGGCGACGGUUGUCCCGGUUUAAGCGUGUAGGCUGGUUUUCCAGGCAAAUCCGGAAAAUCAAGGCUGAGGCGUGAUGACGAGGCACUACGGUGCUGAAGCAACAAAUGCCCUGCUUCCAGGAAAAGCCUCUAAGCAUCAGGUAACAUCAAAUCGUACCCCAAACCGACACAGGUGGUCAGGUAGAGAAUACCAAGGCGCUUGAGAGAACUCGGGUGAAGGAACUAGGCAAAAUGGUGCCGUAACUUCGGGAGAAGGCACGCUGACACGUAGGUGAAGUGAUUUACUCAUGGAGCUGAAGUCAGUCGAAGAUACCAGCUGGCUGCAACUGUUUAUUAAAAACACAGCACUGUGCAAACACGAAAGUGGACGUAUACGGUGUGACGCCUGCCCGGUGCCGGAAGGUUAAUUGAUGGGGUCAGCGCAAGCGAAGCUCCUGAUCGAAGCCCCGGUAAACGGCGGCCGUAACUAUAACGGUCCUAAGGUAGCGAAAUUCCUUGUCGGGUAAGUUCCGACCUGCACGAAUGGCGUAAUGAUGGCCAGGCUGUCUCCACCCGAGACUCAGUGAAAUUGAACUCGCUGUGAAGAUGCAGUGUACCCGCGGCAAGACGGAAAGACCCCGUGAACCUUUACUAUAGCUUGACACUGAACAUUGAGCCUUGAUGUGUAGGAUAGGUGGGAGGCUUUGAAGYGUGGACGCCAGUCUGCRUGGAGCCGACCUUGAAAUACCACCCUUUAAUGUUUGAUGUUCUAACGUGGACCCGURAUCCGGGUUGCGGACAGUGUCUGGUGGGUAGUUUGACUGGGGCGGUCUCCUCCUAAAGAGUAACGGAGGAGCACGAAGGUUGGCUAAUCCUGGUCGGACAUCAGGAGGUUAGUGCAAUGGCAUAAGCCAGCUUGACUGCGAGCGUGACGGCGCGAGCAGGUGCGAAAGCAGGUCAUAGUGAUCCGGUGGUUCUGAAUGGAAGGGCCAUCGCUCAACGGAUAAAAGGUACUCCGGGGAUAACAGGCUGAUACCGCCCAAGAGUUCAUAUCGACGGCGGUGUUUGGCACCUCGAUGUCGGCUCAUCACAUCCUGGGGCUGAAGUAGGUCCCAAGGGUAUGGCUGUUCGCCAUUUAAAGUGGUACGCGAGCUGGGUUUAGAACGUCGUGAGACAGUUCGGUCCCUAUCUGCCGUGGGCGCUGGAGAACUGAGGGGGGCUGCUCCUAGUACGAGAGGACCGGAGUGGACGCAUCACUGGUGUUCGGGUUGUCAUGCCAAUGGCACUGCCCGGUAGCUAAAUGCGGAAGAGAUAAGUGCUGAAAGCAUCUAAGCACGAAACUUGCCCCGAGAUGAGUUCUCCCUGAGACUUAGAGUCUCCUGAAGGAACGUUGAAGACGACGACGUUGAUAGGCCGGGUGUGUAAGCGCAGCGAUGCGUUGAGCUAACCGGUACUAAUGAACCGUGAGGCUUAACCUUACAACGCCGAAG